rnacentral:lncRNA from 1 species
CCAAUGCUAUUUUUACUGAUGGCUUCAUCAAAAAUGUUAUUUGUACUGAUGAAGUUGGUUUGACUCUGAACUGUUUGCUUUAAUUAUUGCUUCUUUUUCUGAUGUAGAAUUUAUAGUUGAACUUGAUGAGUUUUGUAUUAUGAUCAAAUUUGACAUUUUCUUUGUGUUAUUAUUGAAGUCAAUCAUCUUAGCGGUUGUGGUUACAAAGGUAGCAUAUACUGUGAUGUAUCACUCUUUCGACACAGCCAAUAUUCUCCAUCAUAUUGUUGUUACUUCUUCAGUUUUUUUGUAUAAAUUAUUAUAUUGGAAAUUCUUCUUUCAAAAUUUCCUCACACUUGUGUUCUUGCAGGUUUAGCUCAACUUCUAUGAUGCUGCUGGCUCAUCAACUGCAUCUCUCAUCUCUUGUUCAGACCCAAUGUGUGCUUCGACUGAGUGCUGUCUAUUAUGCGUCAGAUUUAUUAUAUUUUGACACAGUCCUCGCGACCUCACUGAUUGCCAACUCUUCAGCACAAAAAUCCAACUGAAAUUCUGUACCUAUUGCAAUUCCAUGAUGUUAAAAGCUAUAGUAUGGUAAUAAACAACAAAUGUAUGUUCCAGCAGAAUAUUCAAAAAGCUUGAAAACCACCAGACAAUAAUAAUGACAAACACGAAUUCUAAGUAUCAAUUCCAACAAAAAAUAAGUAAUAAAUUUUCUUCUCUCUUUUUUGGUUUCUAAUUGACUGAAUACCACAGUUUUUUCCUUCUCAUUACUUUUAUCUUUUGCUUUGCAGAUUCAUGAAAUCCAUCCAAGAAGGUGGCCAGGGAGGAUCAGUGGAAUUGUCCAGAUAAAGUGAUAUGAAUAGGCAUCUCAUAUGAGCAGCUUAUACUGUAGAACAACAUGGACUGGUAGAAGAGCCUUGUAGACAGAGUUGAGCAGUAUGAAAGUUGAAAAUACAGCCUAAGGAUGCUUUCCACACAAUUGACGUGCAAGGACAACUUCAGUAAAAAAAAAAAGAAAAAAAAUACCAUCCAUGAAAUGGAUGAUCAAGUGAAAUAUUACUUUGAUACAUAUAUUCUUUACAAUUAACUCAAUUUAUUUGUGACUACCGCAACAAAUAAAGAGAACUUUAGAAUUGUUGGGCCCAUGCGAAGCAUGGGCAAGAUUAUC